CCUACGGGAGGCAGCAGUGGGGAAUAUUGCGCAAUGGGGGAAACCCUGACGCAGCGACGCCGCGUGGAGGAUGAAGGUCUUCGGGUUGUAAACUCCCUUUCUUGGGAAAGAUAAUGACGGUACCCAAGGAAUAAGCCACGGCUAACUCUGUGCCAGCAGCCGCGGUAAGACAGAGGUGGCGAGCGUUGUUCGGAAUUACUGGGCUUAAAGGGCGAGUAGGCGGUGGAGCAAGUCUGAGGUGGAAUCUUAGGGCUUAACCCUAAAACUGCCUUAGAAACUGUUUUACUUGAGUCAGUGAGGGGAGGGCGGAAUUCCUGGUGUAGCGGUGAAAUGCGUAGAUAUCAGGAGGAAGGCCUGUGGCGAAGGCGGCCCUCUGGCACUGUACUGACGCUGAGGCGCGAAAGCGUGGGUAGCAAACAGGAUUAGAUACCCUGGUAGUCCACGCCCUAAACGGUGGGCAUUAGGUGUAGGGCUCGUAAGGGUUCUGUGCCGAAGGGAAACCAUUAAAUGCCCCGCCUGGGGAGUACGGCCGCAAGGUUGAAACUCAAAGGAAUUGACGG
rnacentral:rRNA from 1 species